rnacentral:rRNA from 1 species
AGCGGCGAACGGGUGAGUAACACGUAGGUGAUCUGCCCAUCAGACGGGGACAACGAUUGGAAACGAUCGCUAAUACCGGAUAGGACGAAAGUUUAAAGGUGCUUCUGGCACCGCUGAUGGACGAGCCUGCGGCGCAUUAGCUAGUUGGUAGGGUAAAGGCCUACCAAGGCGACGAUGCGUAGCCGACCUGAGAGGGUGAACGGCCACACUGGGACUGAGACACGGCCCAGACUCCUACGGGAGGCAGCAGUAGGGAAUCUUCGGCAAUGGGCGAAAGCCUGACCGAGCAACGCCGCGUGAAUGAUGAAGGCCUUCGGGUUGUAAAAUUCUGUUAUAAGGGAAGAACGACUUUAGUAGGAAAUGGCUAGAGUGUGACGGUACCUUAUGAGAAAGCCACGGCUAACUACGUGCCAGCAGCCGCGGUAAUACGUAGGUGGCGAGCGUUAUUCGGAAUUAUUGGGCGUAAAGAGCGCGCAGGUGGUUGAUUAAGUCUGAUGUGAAAGCCCACGGCUUAACCGUGGAGGGUCAUUGGAAACUGGUCGACUUGAGUGCAGAAGAGGGAAGUGGAAUUCCAUGUGUAGCGGUGAAAUGCGUAGAGAUAUGGAGGAACACCAGUGGCGAAGGCGGCUUCCUGGUCUGUAACUGACACUGAGGCGCGAAAGCGUGGGGAGCAACAGGAUUAGAUACCCUGGUAGUCCACGCCGUAAACGAUGAGUGCUAAGUGU